ACCAAGGAGUCUGACAUGUGUGUGAGUCAACAGACAAGUAAACCCAUACGGCGCAGGGAAGUUAAUUGGUGGGAUUUCGUAGCGGGUGCACCGUCGAUCGACCUUGAUAUUUUCAAAAUGGUUCGAGUGUGAGCAUGCCUGUGGGGUUGCGAAAGAUGGUUAUGCCUGAGCGGGGCAAAGCCAGAGGAAACUUUGGUGGAGGCUUGAUGAAGCGAUACUGACGAGCAAAUCAUUCGUCUAACUUGGGUAUAGGGGGGAAGACUAAUCGAAACAUCUAGUAGUUGGUUCCCUCCAAAGUUUGCCUCAUGAUAUCAUAGCUCAUUCGCGAGUUCUAUCAGGUUAAGCCAAUGAUUAGAGGCAUCAGGGGCGCAAUUCCCUCGACCUAUUCUCAAACAUUAAAUAGAUAGGAGGGUGCAACUGCUUCGUUGACCCAAGCCACGGAACCGAGAGCUUCAAGUGGGCCAGUUUUGGUAAUUAGAACUGGUAGUGAUGCUGGAUGAACCAGAAGUCGGGUAAUGGUACCCAACUGCGCUCUAACCUAGAUCCCACGAAGGAUGUUGGUCGAUUAAGACAACAAGGCGGUGGUCAUGGAAGUCGAAAUUCGCUGAGGAGUUUGUAAUAACUAACCUGCCGAAUCAACUAUCCCCGAAAAUGGAUGGCGCUGAAGCGCGCGACCUAUACCCAGCCGUUGGGGCAAGUGUCAUACCCUAAUGAGUAUGAGGGAGCGGCGGUCGCUGCAAAACCUAUGGCGUGAGCCAAGGCGAAGCGGCUGUUGUGCGGAUUUUGAU
rnacentral:ncRNA from 1 species